GAAGCUGGAAUUGCUAGUAAUGGCAGGUCAGCAUACUGCCGUGAAUACGUUCCCGGGCCUUGUACACACCGCCCGUCACACCAUGAGAGUUGGGGAUACCCGAAGCCUGUGAGCCAACUGUAAAGAGGCAGCAGUCGAAGGUAGAAUCAAUGAUUGGGGUGAAGUCGUAACAAGGUAAC
rnacentral:rRNA from 1 species